CCCCCCGUAGUUCAAUGGUAGAACAUCCGCCUUUUAAGCGGUCAACGGAGGUCCGAUUCCUCCCGGGGGGA
rnacentral:tRNA from 1 species